GGAGCUGUGGUGCAGCAGGUUAAUGCCCUGGCCUGAAGUGCCAGCAUACCUUAUGGGUGCUGGUUCCAGUCCUGGCAGCUCCU
rnacentral:tRNA from 1 species